rfam:Marinobacter sp. X15-166B scaffold00001, whole genome shotgun sequence.
CAUGCGGUGCCUGGCAGCUUGCAUUGCUUUUAUCGUGAUGCAAAUCCGUGACUUGGUAGCGGCAUGACCUAUACAGAGGU